UCUUUGUCCGUCAGCGCUCCAGCAGAGCAGACUGACCAUCAGGAAAAUCCUCCACAUAACUCCCUAAAACACACAAUUACAGCAACAGUUACACCGCCACAUUCACUGACCAUCAGGAGAAUCCUCCACAUAACUCCCUAAAACACACAAUUACAGCAACAGUUACACCUCCACAUUCACUGACCAUCAGGAGAAUCCUCCACAUAACUCCCUAAAACACACAAUUACAGCAACAGUUACACCGCUACAUUCACUGACCAUCAGGAGAAUCCUCCACAUAACUCCCUAAAACACACAAUUACAGCAACAGUUACACCGCCACAUUCACUGACCAUCAGGAGAAUCCUCCACAUAACUCCCUAAAACACACAAUUACAGCAACAGUUACACCGCUACAUUCACUGACCAUCAGGAGAAUCCUCCACAUAACUCCCUAAAACACACAAUUACAGCAACAGUUACACCGCCACAUUCACUGACCAUCAGGAGAAUCCUCCACAUAACUCCCUAAAACACCAUGUGUAACUUUCGUGCUUUUAGAUCCACUGAGUCCCGUGACAUAAGUUUUUUAGGGACACCUUUGAGAGACCUGUUGGUCUCAGGAGCAGAGCAGCAGCUGAUGUAACAAACAGGAAGACAGACUGACUCAGCAGAAAACCAUCCAACCUGUGAUCCAUACC